CCUACAGGAGGCAGCAGUGGGGAAUAUUGGACAAUGGGGGGAACCCUGAUCCAGCCAUGCCGCGUGUGUGAAGAAGGCCCUCGGGUUGUAAAGCACUUUCAGUGAGGAAGAACGCCUGGUGGUUAAUACCCAUCAGGAAAGACAUCACUCACAGAAGAAGCACCGGCUAACUCCGUGCCAGCAGCCGCGGUAAUACGGAGGGUGCGAGCGUUAAUCGGAAUUACUGGGCGUAAAGCGCGCGUAGGUGGCUUGAUAAGCCGGUUGUGAAAGCCCCGGGCUCAACCUGGGAACGGCAUCCGGAACUGUCAAGCUAGAGUGCAGGAGAGGAAGGUAGAAUUCCCGGUGUAGCGGUGAAAUGCGUAGAGAUCGGGAGGAAUACCAGUGGCGAAGGCGGCCUUCUGGACUGACACUGACACUGAGGUGCGAAAGCGUGGGUAGCAAACAGGAUUAGAUACCCGAGUAGUC
rnacentral:rRNA from 1 species